rnacentral:lncRNA from 1 species
CCGUAGUAGACUUAUUUUAAUAAAUCUUCCAUCCCUAGUUAGUCGUAGAAAAGUGCCUGGUGUAAUUUUUAUGCACAGCUUGAUCAAGGGGGAUGAAGACAGCCCUGACUUGCUGAGCCGCAUAAACUUUACGAUUCCCAUUAGACCCACUAGAAACUUUAUUCCUUUGUUCCUUCCACUAUGUAGAUCGAAUUAUGCCUCACACGAACCCUUUAGGGUUUUAUGAUCGAAUUCCAUCUACCACAUUAUAUCCUCAACUAACUCCCUUCCUCUUCUUAAAUCUCUUAUACUAGCCUACCU